CAAAGUGCUGGGAUUCCAGGCGUGAGCCACCGCGCCGGGACCCAAGGCCCUUAAGUUUUAAGGCCUCAUUCUUCAGUCAGGUUUUCCCUGUUCCCGCGUGUUCGGCCAAUUUUUUGUUGUUGUUGUUUUGUUUUUGUUUUUGUUUUUGAGUCAAUUUUCCAGACAUCUUUAAUUAGCAAUAUGUUUAAGUAGUUACAAGCCUUUCCUUCUUUUCUUGUGACAGUUUGGGUUGAAUUUCUAUCGUUUGCAGCCUGUCACUGUAAGGCACAAACAUGAUCACGCAAGAUGCGAUAGUAGAUUUAAGCCAGUUGUUUUUAAGUUUGUGUUUAAGGAGAAACUAACAAUGAAAACGGCCUCGUUGACGGAGGAAAAGUUGGAAUGCAGCCUCUGGUGCUGUUUGAGCGAUCCCUCUCCCCGGGGCCUGGCCGCGCGCUGCUGUGUUCUGGAAGGGCUCAUUGUACAGUCAAGGCGGCAGGGCCUUCUUCUGUCACCCAUGCUGGAGUGCAGUAGCAUGAUCACAGCUCACGGUAGCCUCCACCUUCUGGGCUCAAUCCUCCUACCUCAGCCUUCCAAGUAGCUGGGACUACAGAUCAGACAUUACUUUAGGUGAAGACUUUCCAGUCUGACUUCCCUUACCCGAGUCUUGAGGAUCCAUUUUCUGAGACGGUGAUGGGAAAGAUGUUGGUUGUCAAGUGGAAUCUCAGCAGUCAUUUUCAGACAAAGUUAGAGAAAACAAGUAUGGAAGAUGCCUGAUUCUCAAAGAGUCAUCCAGUCUUGGGAUUACCGCCUACGUCCAUGGAAGUGAAAGUCCUCUUUUUCUUUGUACCACUUACUGAGCCUUGCAUCCCAGGGAUGAAGCCCACUUGAUCAUGGUGGAUAAGCUGUUUGAUGUGCUGCUGGAUUCGGUUUGCCAGUAUUUUAUUGAGGAUUUUUGCAUCGAUGUUCAUCACAUUAAUUCAAGAUGGAUUAAAGACUUAAAUGUUAGACCUAAAACCAUAAAAACCCUAGAAGAAAACCUAGGCAAUACCAUUCAGGACAUAGGCAUGGGCAAGGACUUCCUGUCUAAAACACCAAAAGCAAUGGCAACAAAAGCCAAAAUUGACAAAUGGGAUCUAAUUAAACUAAAUAACUUCUGCACAGCAAAAGAAA
rnacentral:lncRNA from 1 species